rnacentral:rRNA from 1 species
AGACGUCUACAUUAGAUACCCGUGUAGUCCCAGCCGUAAACUAUGCGCGUUAGGUGUAUCGGUGACCACGAGUUACCGAGGUGCCGAAGGAAACCGUGAAACGUGCCGCCUGGGAAGUACGGUCGCAAGGCUGAAACUUAAAGGAAUUGGCGGGGAGCACCACAACGGGUGGAGCCUGCGGUUUAAUUGGACUCAACGCCGGGAAGCUCACCGGAUAAGACAGCGGAAUGAUUGCCGGGCUGAAGACUCUGCAUGACUAGCUG